GGGAACACCCCGGGCACAAAGGUCCUGGCCAGCCCAGGACUCACACCCUCUCUGGCUUCUUCACGCUCUCCCUUGCCCUCACUUAGUUCCACAGCCCACCUCCCACGCCCCUCCUCACACGCACUCACUGUCGCGUUUCCGUUUUACACACUCCUUAAAGGGUGGGAGCACUGCCUUUGGAGUCAGACACACCCGGGUUUGAAUCCUGCUGCUGCCCCUUCUGAGUCCUGUCACGUCUCUUCUGUGGUCACUGGGGCUAGGAGUGCCCACCACAGACGGUCCUGGCAGCCAGGGCCUGCGCUGCGCUCUGGGUGCAGAGAUGAGGAGGGUGGUCUGCCUCCCACCUCACCCCUCCAGAGCUGCCUUCUCUGGCACAACCCCCUUCUUCCCUGCAAGCCCGUCCAUUCCCUGGCGUGCCCCUGAGCUCUUCCAUCUGCUUCCCUGCAGAAUGUGGAGAACUUCACUCUGGCGCAGGACGAGGUGGGGCACAUCCUCCUGGAAGAUGGCAAGGGUCGUUGUCCCUUUGACCCCAAUUUCAAGUCCACAGCCCUGGUGGUUGAUGGUGAGCUCUACACCGGAACCGUAAGCAGCUUCCAAGGGAAUGACCCAGCCAUCUCCCGGAGCCACAGCCUCCGCCCCACCAAGACCGAGAGCUCCCUCAACUGGCUCCAAGACCCGGCGUUUGUGGCCUCGGCCUAUAUUCCCGAGAGCCUGGGCAGCUUGCAAGGGGACGAUGACAAGAUCUACUUCUUCUUUAGCGAGACUGGCCAGGAGUUUGAGUUCUUUGAGAACACCAUCGUGUCCCGCAUCGCCCGCAUCUGCAAGGUGAGGAGGGUGGCCCACCCCAGAGACCCUGAAG